AUUGAACGCUGGCGGCAUGCUUUACACAUGCAAGUCGAACGGCAGCGCGGGCUUCGGCCUGGCGGCGAGUGGCGAACGGGUGAGUAAUACAUCGGAACGUGCCCAGUAGUGGGGGAUAGCUCGGCGAAAGCCGGAUUAAUACCGCAUACGACCUGAGGGUGAAAGCGGGGGAUCUUCGGACCUCGCGCUAUUGGAGCGGCCGAUGGCAGAUUAGCUAGUUGGUGGGGUAAAGGCCUACCAAGGCGACGAUCUGUAGCUGGUCUGAGAGGACGACCAGCCACACUGGGACUGAGACACGGCCCAGACUCCUACGGGAGGCAGCAGUGGGGAAUUUUGGACAAUGGGCGAAAGCCUGAUCCAGCAAUGCCGCGUGCGUGAUGAAGGCCUUCGGGUUGUAAAGCACUUUUGGCGGGAACGAAAAGGACUGUGCCAAUACCACGGUUCGAUGACGGUACCCGCAGAAUAAGCACCGGCUAACUACGU
rnacentral:rRNA from 1 species